rnacentral:misc_RNA from 1 species
GUCACACUGGAAGCUCAGUUUAUAAAUUCAGCAAACAUUGAAAACCCAAACGCCAAAGAAAUUUAAAUUGAAGAUUGCGAAUGAUAUUGUUUUUUGUUUUGUAUUUUUCUCCGUAGCUCCAAACGUUACGAUACACGCGAUAGUGCAUUCAAUAAAAAGCUAUUGCCGCUGAGCGAUUGAAAACUAAUUCCAACUAGAAAACGAAUAGUGUGUAUGCAUGUAUGUGUGUGUGUUUUUGUGUCUGCGGGCAAACCGAAGAAGUGACGUUUACAGCAAAAAAAAAGUCGGUCUCGUCAAAAUUUGAAGUGAAAUUAAAUAAAACACGUCGUCGUCGCCGUCGUCAUCGUCAUCGUCCAGCCACUCACAACUCUUCCAUGGCAGUUGGAUGCACGUUUGAUUGAAACGACGACGUCGCUUCGCUCGUCGUCUUUGCUGCAAAUUUCGCCAUCUUCGCUCAGAAUACCAAUAAGAAGAAGAAAAAGAAGAAGCAAUAACGAGCGAACAGAGCUGCGACGAUGAGCUGAGCUGCGCUUAGCUAUGCAUUCACAAAGCUAUCGUUGAGAUCUCACCCCAUAGGGACACAUCGCUGAAGUACACCGUCAGAGAACAAAGCAAGCAACCAACCAGCGAGUCUUCCAAACUAGAACAAACUACGAGCUACGAGUUCAACAAGACAAAGCACAAAGGAUCAACAGAAACAAUAGUGUGUGUAAGUGGCUGCACGAAGCGCGAAGCCCUUGCAGAGCAGGUCAAGCAAUUUGGUAGUGGUUGUCGGGUCAGCAUCGUCAUAUAGAAAUGACACUGACCACAACGGCGACGCCACCGGAGAGCAACAAGAAAAUGGAAGUGAAGGCAUUGACAGGCGAAGAGAAUCUGCCCACAUCUGAAAUGGAUCUGCUGGCCAAGCUGGAGGCCGCCAAUAAGCUAAUUGAAAGCGAUGCCAAAAGCCUCAAUUCGCUGCACUCAACGCACAGUCGCAAAAACUCGGACACGAGCCAAAUAAGCCUUACUUCAAGCGGCAAUUCGGUUGCCGAGGAAGACAUCUGGACCACGUGGGCAUCCAUACUGAACGACUGGGAGGGCGCGCUGAAGCGUAAAAAUCCCUGCGUGCGGGAGCUGGUGCGUCGCGGCAUACCGCAUCAUUUUCGCGCAAUCGUGUGGCAACAACUUAGCGGCGCCGCCGAUGCCGAUAAAAAGCAAUAUGCUGAAUAUAUUAAGGCAACGUCUGCUUGCGAGAAAGUUAUUCGGCGCGAUAUAGCACGCACCUAUCCGGAGGUUGAUUUCUUCAAGGAGAAGGACGGGCCCGGCCAGGAGGCGCUGUUCAAUGUGAUCAAAGCGUAUUCGCUGCACGAUCGUGAGGUGGGCUACUGUCAGGGCUCUGGCUUCAUUGUCGGCCUGUUGCUCAUGCAGAUGCCCGAAGAGGAGGCGUUUGCCGUUCUCGUACAGAUCAUGCAACAGCAUCGCAUGCGGCACAUGUUCAAGCCAUCGAUGUCUGAGCUGGGCCUGUGCAUGUACCAGCUGGAGAAUCUGGUACAGGAGCAAAUACCCGACAUGCACUUACAUUUCCAGCAGCAAGGCUUCCAGACGACCAUGUAUGCGUCUAGCUGGUUUCUGACGCUCUAUACGACCACACUGAAUGUGAAUCUCAGCUGCCGCAUUAUGGAUGUCUUCCUUAGCGAGGGCAUGGAAUUCAUUUUUAAGGUGGCACUGGCUCUGCUCUUGACGGGCAAGGAAUCGCUGCUGUCCCUUGACAUGGAGGCCAUGCUCAAGUUCUUUCAAAAGGAGCUGCCCGGUCGCGUCGAGGCCGAUCCAGAGGGUUUCUUUAAUUUGGCCUAUGCGCAGAAACUCAAUACGAAGCGAAUGAAGAAAAUGGAGAAAGAGUAUCAAGACUUGAAGAAAAAGGAACAGGAGGAGAUGGUCGAGCUGCGACGGCUGCGGCGCGAGAAUUGUCUCUUAAAGCAGCGCAACGAGCUGCUCGAGGCUGAAAGCGCCGCCCUGGCCGAUCGUCUGGUGCGUGGCCAAGUCUCGCGUGCCGAGGAGGAGGAGACCAGCUAUGCCAUUCAAACGGAGCUAAUGCAGCUGCGACACUCCUAUCUGGAGGUGUCACACCAACUGGAGAAUGCCAACGAGGAGGUGCGCGGUCUCAGUCUGCGGCUACAGGAAAAUAACGUUUCAAUCGAUAGCAAUAAUUCGCGUCAGUCGUCUAUCGACGAGCUGUGCAUGAAGGAGGAGGCACUGAAGCAGCGCGACGAGAUGGUCUCCUGUUUGCUAGAGGAGCUGGUCAAGGUGCGUCAGGGCUCAGCCGAAAGCGAGGAUCAGAUACGAAAUCUGAAGUCGAAAAUCGAAGAGCUCGAAGAGGAUAAAAAGACACUGCGCGAAACCACGCCCGACAAUUCGGUGGCCCAUUUGCAGGACGAGCUGAUUGCUAGCAAGCUGCGUGAGGCGGAGGCCACGCUCUCCCUCAAGGAUCUCAAGCAGCGCGUGCAGGAGCUGAGCACCCAGUGGCAGCGCCAAUUGGCCGAAAAUCAGCGCAACGAGCAUAGCGCUGCCUCCGUUGAUUCCACACCCAAAAAGUUGUUAACAAAUUUCUUUGAUAACUCAAAAUCGACGGAGCACACACAGAAACUCGAGGAGGAGCUAAUGACGACACGCAUACGUGAAAUGGAAACGCUAACCGAACUGAAGGAGCUGCGUCUCAAAGUCAUGGAGCUGGAGACACAAGUGCAGGUCUCCACGAAUCAGCUACGACGGCAGGACGAGGAGCACAAGAAGCUCAAGGAAGAGCUCGAACUGGCCGUCACACGCGAAAAGGAGCUGGCCAACAAGGCGCGUGAACAGCAGCACAGGUAUUCGGAUCUGGAGUCUCGUAUGAAGGAUGAACUUAUGAAUGUCAAAAUCAAGUUCACCGAACAGAGCCAAACAGUUGCCGAACUGAAGCAGGAGAUUUCUCGAUUGGAGACAAAGAAUUCGGAAAUGCUUGCCGAGGGCGAGCUGCGCGCUAAUCUGGAUGACUCGGAUAAAGUGCGUGACCUGCAGGACAGGUUGGCUGACAUGAAGGCGGAGUAUCCCACGCCAAUAACCAGCCCCGAUACUGAACCGUGGAAAUGGAUAAGCUAAGCUAAUCGAAAACAGAAAGCUAAAAUCAAACCAAAACUAAGCAAAUUCAUCAACAUCAUUAACAAAUGCCAUCUACCUUAAAUCCCAGUUAAAACGAAAAGCAAAACAAAAAGUAAAACCAAGAUCAAAUUCAACAUUUAACAGCAAAACGACCAAAAGCAAAUCAGCUGACGGCGCUAAAAAGUCGCGGCAAAUUUCCGGCCAACAAGCUGCGCAGCGCCUCCAUUC